rnacentral:rRNA from 1 species
UACGGAGGAUGCAAGCGUUAUCCGGAAUAAUUGGGCGUAAAGCGUUCGUAGGUGGUUAUGUAAGUCUGCUGUUAAAGCGUGUAGCUUAACUACAUAUAGGCAGUGGAAACUACAAGACUAGAGUGCGUUCGGGGCAGAGGGAAUUCCUGGUGUAGCGGUGAAAUGCGUAGAUAUCAGGAAGAACACCGGUGGCGAAGGCGCUCUGCUAGGCCGUAACUGACACUGAGGGACGAAAGCUAGGGGAGCGAAUGGG